UACGGGGGGGGCAAGCGUUGUCCGGAAUUACUGGGCGUAAAGGGCUCGUAGGCGGCCAAUUAAGUCCGACGUGAAAUCCCAAGGCUUAACCUUGGAACUGCGUCGGAUACUGGAUGGCUUGAAUUCGGGAGAGGGAUGCAGAAUUCCAGGUGUAGCGGUGAAAUGCGUAGAUAUCUGGAGGAAUACCGGUGGCGAAGGCGGCAUCCUGGACCGACAUUGACGCUGAGGAGCGAAAGCUAGGGGAGCAAACGGG
rnacentral:rRNA from 1 species